rnacentral:rRNA from 1 species
AACGCUAGCUACAGGCUUAACACAUGCAAGUCGAGGGGCAGCAUGGUCUUAGCUUGCUAAGGCCGAUGGCGACCGGCGCACGGGUGAGUAACACGUAUCCAACCUGCCGUCUACUCUUGGACAGCCUUCUGAAAGGAAGAUUAAUACAAGAUGGCAUCAUGAGUCCACAUGUUCACAUGAUUAAAGGUAUUCCGGUAGACGAUGGGGAUGCGUUCCAUUAGAUAGUAGGCGGGGUAACGGCCCACCUAGUCUUCGAUGGAUAGGGGUUCUGAGAGGAAGGUCCCCCACAUUGGAACUGAGACACGGUCCAAACUCCUACGGGAGGCAGCAGUGAGGAAUAUUGGUCAAUGGGCGAGAGCCUGAACCAGCCAAGUAGCGUGAAGGAUGACUGCCCUAUGGGUUGUAAACUUCUUUUAUAAAGGAAUAAAGUCGGGUAUGCAUACCCGUUUGCAUGUACUUUAUGAAUAAGGAUCGGCUAACUCCGUGCCAGCAGCCGCGGUAAUACGGAGGAUCCGAGCGUUAUCCGGAUUUAUUGGGUUUAAAGGGAGCGUAGAUGGAUGUUUAAGUCAGUUGUGAAAGUUUGCGGCUCAACCGUAAAAUUGCAGUUGAUACUGGAUAUCUUGAGUGCAGUUGAGGCAGGCGGAAUUCGUGGUGUAGCGGUGAAAUGCUUAGAUAUCACGAAGAACUCCGAUUGCGAAGGCAGCCUGCUAAGCUGCAACUGACAUUGAGGCUCGAAAGUGUGGGUAUCAAACAGGAUUAGAUACCCUGGUAGUCCACACGGUAAACGAUGAAUACUCGCUGUUUGCGAUAUACUGCAAGCGGCCAAGCGAAAGCGUUAAGUAUUCCACCUGGGGAGUACGCCGGCAACGGUGAAACUCAAAGGAAUUGACGGGGGCCCGCACAAGCGGAGGAACAUGUGGUUUAAUUCGAUGAUACGCGAGGAACCUUACCCGGGCUUAAAUUGCAGAUGAAUUACGGUGAAAGCCGUAAGCCGCAAGGCAUCUGUGAAGGUGCUGCAUGGUUGUCGUCAGCUCGUGCCGUGAGGUGUCGGCUUAAGUGCCAUAACGAGCGCAACCCUUGUUGUCAGUUACUAACAGGUUCUGCUGAGGACUCUGACAAGACUGCCAUCGUAAGAUGUGAGGAAGGUGGGGAUGACGUCAAAUCAGCACGGCCCUUACGUCCGGGGCUACACACGUGUUACAAUGGGGGGUACAGAGGGCCGCUACCACGCGAGUGGAUGCCAAUCCCAAAAACCUCUCUCAGUUCGGACUGGAGUCUGCAACCCGACUCCACGAAGCUGGAUUCGCUAGUAAUCGCGCAUCAGCCACGGCGCGGUGAAUACGUUCCCGGGCCUUGUACACACCGCCCGUCAAGCCAUGGGAGCCGGGGGUACCUGAAGUGCGUAACCGCGAGGAGCGCCCUAGGGUAAAACUGGUGACUGG